ensembl:lncRNA
AGAAAGUCAUGGUGUCACUGGAUAAGCUGACAUAAACAUGUAAACACCUUCGGUCAGGGGGAAAUGAGGGUAAUGGUGAUGUGGAGGGGAAAAGAACCAGAAUCUGAAGGGCAGUGUGAAGGCAAAAUGGUUGAUGGGGGGAGGAAACAAGGGAAUUUGGAAAUCUGAUAAGAAAACUGGCAUCACAGUGCUCUUUCUAAGUAGAAGUGCUCAGAAAUUGAAUAGCCUGUUGUUUCACCAACACCAGUGUCAGGGUCACUGGGCUGCUCCUUCCUCCCUCGUGAAUGAACUUUAGAUGAUGUUUGCUCUUUUCCAGCACUGCUGCAUCACUGCAUCAUUUUCUCUGCCUCCUGACACAACAGGCCUUAGAAAAACCCUUCUUUGUGAUCUGGCCCCCAGUGCUCCUUGCCAGCCCUGCUUUGGAGGUGAGGGGGAGAGAAAUGCUGCUCCUAGGGUGGUUUUUUUUGGGAUUGAUUCUCAAUGAAGACUCCAGGA